GAGGGCUCAAAAUAUUGUUAGUAUUUGAUUUCCAUGGCCAUUAGCCUCUUUAGUCCUAGACUAUUAUAGUUUCUAUAUAUAGUUUUUCUUCAGCCUAUAAAAUUUCUGUAAUUUUUUCAGGAGCAGGAACAUGCUUUUCAACUAAUUUGAUAUCUACCUUUAGUACCAACCCUACUUACUGAAUGGCUCAAACGCCCAAGCAAGAUUUGAAGCCCUGGAUCGAAACCAACUGCAUCUCCCGCAGCUAUCCCAAGUCCCAACUUCUCCAAGCACAGGUUUGCCAUCAGUAGCUGCUGAGGCCUCCUUCUUUUGUCUCAAGCUCGGAUCUGUGCAGUUAUAGCGUCGACGUUCUAGACACACUUCGUACAUCUUGACCGGACGUAACAGCCCUGCCCCAGCCCCAGCAGGCAUGAUCCAAUCUGUCAUACCUGACAUGUUUGGCGCCUCAUGUCAGGUCCCCCAUACCUAUGUCCGUCAUGAUCAGUCGACAAAUGUCGAUUCGUCUCCGACAGUCAUGUCCCCUAUAUAUGUACUUCUGUUGAUCUGUCCACAAAUGCCAAUUCGUUAACAGUCAAUUUCCCUGGAUGGACGUCCAUCGGGUCAUCUAUCCACAAAUGCUGAUUGAUCUUGAACAUACUGUAAUUUUUGUUUCAAGUCUACCAUGUUUUCUUAGUUCUAUUUCUUUCUUUCAUAUUCUUUGAGCAUGUGCCUGAAUAGCAGACACACUUUUGUUUUACCUAAAAUUGAAUCUUUGUGCAGAUCAAUGAUGUGGUGCAACUAGCAAUCAAAUAUUUAUGAUCUCUCCACCGAGAAUUAGAAAUUAGAAACCACAGCUAAGUUUUGUUAUGCAAACUUUUCUGAGAACAUUUUUGUUAUGCAAAUUGUUGCACCGUGUUCUUUUAGAAAAUCCUAAUAGUAGAACUCAGAGAAUGACACGUAUGUCAUCCACCAUUACUUAACAUUUUUUCGGAUUAAAAGUUCAAUAGAGCUCGGAAUGUUAUUUCUAUCAUUAAUUUUCUCAUAUGUGUAGUUCAGAGUUCAGACUUGACUACAAUGGAAUAAUUAAUGUUUCUUUGAUAUUGUGCUUUACACCCCAAAAGGCAGUUCACGAUCAUAGCAUUUUCUCAACUUUCUCGGUGGAUUGCCUUGAGCAUCGAAAGGGGAUUCACAGAUGGUGCAGGUGCAACUCUGACAUAGUCCCAUGUUGAGCCUGCAGAUUUGGCUUUUCAGGAAAUUCGUUCUAAAAAAUACUCAUUCUUUGCAAGCUUUCUACUUUUACCAAGACUUGAAGGCAUCUAUCGUCCCAGCAUUCAGAAUGGAGAAACUAGUGAGUUUCAUAUAUGAUCUGAAUGAAAUGUUUAGGACUUGCGGCAGUGGACUUUGCUACUGAUCAUUCGGUGGUGGUGACCCAUAUGAUGGCGAUUCGCUCCGGCCAUUCCAGUUUUGGCGGUGGUGGUGUUGCUGCUCCUAUGAUGGUAGACUCGUCUGAUUCCCCUAGUCGCAUCCAUGGUGAUGAAGCUCGGCCUAGGCUAGAACCCCCUCCGAUUUGCUUAAGAUUACGGAAGAAUGGGUUGAUGGAGUGCUUGUAUUUAGUUUUUGUUUUGACCUUGUAAAACUUGCUACCUAUGGAUGAAACUGUGUAAUAUUGAUGAAACUAUGUAUAUGUACGGAUGAAACAUGC
rnacentral:rRNA from 1 species